rnacentral:tRNA from 1 species
GUUGCAGCUCAGUGGUAGAGCGCUUGCCUAGCAUGUGUGAGGCACUGGGUUCUAUCCUCAGCGCCACA